rnacentral:rRNA from 1 species
UACGUAGGGGGCGAGCGUUGUCCGGAAUCAUUGGGCGUAAAGCGCGUGUAGGCGGUUCGGUAAGUCCGCUGUAAAAGUCGGGGGCUCAACCCUCGAACGCCGGUGGAUACUGUCGAGCUUGAGUACGGAAGAGGCGAGUGGAAUUCCUGGUGGUAGCGGUGAAAUGCGCAGAUAUCAGGAGGAACACCAAUUGCGAAGGCAGCUCGCUGGGACGUUACUGACGCUGAGACGCGAAAGCGUGGGGAGCAAACAGGAUUGAGAAACCUUGUAG